GACGAAGGUGGCAAGCGUUACGCGGAUUUACUGGGCAUAAAGCGCGCGUAGGCGGCUUGAUAAGUCGGAGGUGAAAGCCCGCAGCUCAACUGCGGAAUUGCCCCCGAUACUGUCUGGCUUGAGGCCAGGAGAGGUCACCGGAACUCCAGGUGUAGCGGUGAAAUGCGUAGAUAUCUGGAGGAACACCAGAGGCAAAGGCGGGUGACUGGACUGGUACUGACGCUAAGGCGCGAAAGCUAGGGGAGCAAACAGG
rnacentral:misc_RNA from 1 species